rnacentral:rRNA from 1 species
UAAAGCUACUAAGAGCUAAUGGAGAAUGCCUUGGUACUGACAGCCGAAGAAGGACGUGUAAAGCUGCGAUAAGCUUCGGGGAGUUGCUAAAAGACCUUGAUCCGAAGAAUUCCGAAUGGGGAAACCCUGCAAGGUUAAAACCUUGUAAUCCAUAGAUGAAUACAUAGUCUAUGAGAAGGAAAGCCUGUGAACUGAAACAUCUUAGUAACAGGACGAAAAGAAAAUAACCAAAUGAUUCCGAAAGUAGCGGCGAGCGAAAUUGGAAGAGCCUAAACAAUAUGUACGUGAUAGACUGCAAUCGUUGUGCAUAUUGGGUUGUGGGACUUACGGUAUAAUUUGCAGGUUAUACAAAGAGUUACAAAAUUAUUUAUUAGCUAAAUACAACUGGGAAGUUGAGCCAUAGCGGGUGAUAGCCCCUUAAGCGACAAUAAAUAAUCUCUUGUAAGUAUCCCGAGUAAGGCGGGGCACGUGAAACCCUGUCUGAAUCCACCGGGACCAUCCGGUAAGGCUAAAUACUAGUCAGUGACCGAUAGUGAACGAGUACAGUGAUGGAAAGGCGAAAAGAACAGUGAGAAGCUGAGUGAAAUAGACCCUGAAACCGUUAGCUUACAAUCAGUCAGAGCACUAUUAAUAGUGUGAUGGCGUGCCUGUUGAAGAAUGAGCCGGCGAGUUAUCUUAUGUUGCGAGGUUAAGGAGUUAACAUCCGGAGCCAUAGCGAAAGCGAGUUUGAAUAGAGCGUUAAGUAACCUGAGAUAGACCCGAACCUUGGUGAUCUAACCUUGACCAGGAUGAAGCGUGGGUAACACUACGUGGAGGUCCGAACCGACUGAUGUUGAAAAAUCAGCGGAUGAGUUGAGGUUAGGGGUGAAAUGCCAAUCGAACCAAGAGCUAGCUGGUUCUCCCCGAAAUGCGUUUAGGCACAGCGUCAGAAUUAUCUUACAGGAGGUAGAGCACUGGUUUUGUGCGGGCGACGAAAUGUUGUACCAAACAAUGUCAAACUCCGAAUGCCUGUAAUGUUACUAUCUGGCAGUGAGGCUAUGAGUGAUAAGAUCCAUGGCCAAGAGGGAAACAGCCCAGAACGCCAGUUAAGGUCCCUAAUAUAUGCUAAGUGGUUAAGGAGGUAGAGUUGCUGAGACAACCAGGAGGUUGGCUUAGAAGCAGCCAUCCCUUGAAAGAGUGCGUAAUAGCUCACUGGUCAAGCGACUCCGCGCCGAAAAUACACCGGGACUCAAGCAUAUAACCGAAACUGCGUCAUAUAGUUUACUAUAUGGGUAGGGGAGCGUUCUGUUGUAGGAUGAAGUAAGAUCGAAAGGACUUAUGGACGAAGCAGAAGUGAGAAUGUCGGCAUAAGUAGCGAAAACAUUGGUGAGAAUCCAAUGCACCGUAAACCUAAGGUUUCCCCUGGCAGGCUCGUCCGCGGGGGGUUAGUCGGAACCUAAGCUGAGGCCGAAAGGCGUAGGCGAUGGACAUCAGGUUGAUAUUCCUGAACUAUCUGGUAAUCGUUAUCAGAUGCGGAGGGACGCAGGAGGAUAGGCACGCAGCCGACUGGAAGAGGCUGUUUAAGCGUGUAGCUAGUUUGAGUAGGAAAAUCCGCUCAGGCGUUAUGACGUGAGGCGUAAUGAGGAGGAUCUACGGAUCCGAAGGUGUUGACUCCACACUGCCAAGAAAAACUUCGCACUCGAGAUUAUCCGGUAUCCGUACCGUAAACCGCCACAGGUAGGUUGGUAGAAAAUACCAAGGUGCGCGAGACAACUCUCGCUAAGGAACUCGGCAAAAUCACCUCGUAACUUCGGGAGAAGAGGUACCCUGGUAGAGUGAAGCGAUUUACUCGUGGAGCUUGAUAGGGUCGCAGUGAAUAGGCCCAUGCGACUGUUUACCAAAAACACAGGUCUCUGCUAAGUCGAUCAAGACGAUGUAUAGGGGCUGACGCCUGCCCGGUGUCGGAAGGUUACGUGGAAGGGUUAGACUUCGGUCGAAGCUCUGAAACUAAGCCCCGAUGAACGGCGGCCGUAACUAUAACGGUCCUAAGGUAGCGAAAUUCCUUGUCAG